UACGUAGGGUGCAAGCGUUAAUCGGAAUUACUGGGCGUAAAGCGUGCGCAGGCGGUUUUGUAAGUCUGUUGUGAAAUCCCCGGGCUCAACCUGGGAAUGGCAAUGGAGACUGCAAGGCUAGAGUUUGGCAGAGGGGGGUAGAAUUCCACGUGUAGCAGUGAAAUGCGUAGAUAUGUGGAGGAACACCGAUGGCGAAGGCAGCCCCCCUGGGUCAAAAACUGACGCUCAUGCACGAAAGCGUGGGGAGCAAACAGG
rnacentral:rRNA from 1 species